UCACGUUGUCCAUCUGUCUUUUGACACCUUUCAGAAACAUCACUCAUUUCGCAUUCAGUUGCCAUUAAGUCAUUGAAAUGUGAUAAACUCAAUUUGGAUCCCACUUGUUGGGAAACCUGUAUACUUUACCUUAGGGCAUUAUCCUGUUUGCCAUGUGACCAUCACAGGCCUUUUUAUUGAAGUAUGCACUUUUAAGGCAUCUAUAUUUUAUGUAAAGGGUUUUUACCCAGAUAUUUUCUUUUGUGGCUCAGCUAGCAUCCAGUUUGUAAGUAUAACCAACUUGCUCUAACCUUUGUCAAAAUUUAAAUACUAACUUUAUAUUCAUUAAAUCGGUUAUACUUAUUUUUAGAUCGAACACUGAUGAUGAUUUUUUAUAAAAAUCGAAAACGUUUUGUUGUGAUGUAGCCCUUUUAAGGGAUUUUUAAUAAAAAAAAUUUUAUACCUUUUACAAAGGAUUUCUUUCCAAUAUUUAUUAUUGUGUAAUGAUACGCUGAUACACCGAACAAGCAUCGACACUUGGAACCAUACGAUUCUCUCAAAUCGCGCAGAUGCCCCCACUCAGUUCCACCUCUCCGAAUCAACACCGGCAGAAGGAUAUUUAAGAGAGCCGCAAGCAGAGAUCCGACAGUCCUGAAACGACAGUUCUGGGCUCCAAAUACCAGCCAAGCGGCGUGAGCUAGGCAGGCCGACCUGAGUAGCGAGGUGCACCGUACUGACGUGAUUCGCAAGCUUAGGCAGCCAACUCGAGCCGCAAGGUGCACCGUAGUGAAUUGAUUUGCGGCUCAUAAGUAAAAGGAGGCACGCGUAACGUCUACCCGGAGGAGGACUUCGCUGCGACGAAUAGAAUGAGAUAUAUUAUUUUUAUUUAUUAGACUGAAUAGAUUUAUUUUGUUUUAA